UGGCAAGUGCGGGAAAAUAUGAGUGCGUUUAAUAGAAUUACUUUUCUUUACCCUCCUUGCACUUUGGGAACUGUUUCCCGUGUUACCCUUUCACUCUUGGGAUUCUUUCCCUUCUUCCCACAAACCCCACUUUCCUUCUAUUGUUUCUAGAUCACACACAGACAAACACAUAAUAGCCAAGAGAAAGAGUCUCAAAUUCCACUUUUUUUUUUUUAAUUCCUUCCUUCUCAUAGGUUUUUUUCCUCAGCUACCUUGAAAGCAUGGAAAGGAACCAAUGGAGUUCAUUAUAGCUUAGUUCGCUUUUAGAACUUCAAGUCUUCAACAUCUUUAACUGAAACUAUAACACACCAGUUGUUGGGUGAGUUUCAGUUAAAAAAAUUCUAUAUAUACAAUUUUAUGUCUUAUGAUUAGUCUAUCAAUAUAUACUUUUUGUAUGUUACUUCAGUCUGAAAUGAUUCGUUCACCAGAUAUAUAUAAUAAAGAUUUGUAAAUCCUGUACGAUACAUGUUUGUAUUAUUGCCUAUUUGGAAUCUGAGUGCCUAAAGCUGCAAGCUCGUUAGGGGAACUUUUGUUGUCCUAUUAUUAUUAUUAUAGUGUCAAAAUGUGACUACGAUUUAUGUUGGGUUGAAUUUGAGACUUGAAAUUGCAUAUAUUUAUUUAUGGGUGGGGCUUUGUGAUCUGUGUGGGAAUUGGGGGGUGUGUCAGAUCAAAGCAUGCACCAAAAUUGGAUUUUUGAGCACACCCAUUUGAAGAUGGCAUGGAUUCACCACCAUAUUCAACAAAAAGAUGGUUACUUGAGCUACUACUACCCUCCACCACCACCACUACCACCACUAUUACCGCCACCAUAUUUGUCCACACCUUCAACAUCUUCUUCAGCUUCAUCUUCAUCUUCAUCUUCAUCACCAUCUUCUGGUACUAGGAUUAGUCCUGCUGUUCUUUUCAUAAUAGUAAUUCUUGCAGUUUUAUUCUUCAUCUCUGGUGUCCUCCAUCUGCUUGUUAGAUUUCUCAUGAAGCACCCGGUUUUUCAGUAUAAGGAGAUUGUGGGGCUGAAGGAGCCAUUUGAUUGUGCUGUUUGUCUGUGUGAGUUUUCUGAGAAGGAUAACCUCAGGUUGUUGCCUAUGUGCAGCCACGCCUUUCACAUAAGUUGUAUAGACACAUGGCUUCUUUCGAAUUCCACUUGCCCUCUUUGUAGAGGGACACUCCUUACUCCGGGGUUUUCGAUGGAGAAUCCAAUGUUUGAUUUUGAUGAUAUGAGGGAAGAUGAAGGGUGGCCUUGUGAUGGUGAAAAUGGAUUUACAAAUAGGCAGAAGAAAGCUGUGGUUGAAGAAAUCAAUGAUGAGAAAAGGGGAAUUUUCCCCGUAAGGCUCGGUAAAUUCCGGAAGAUGGAUGUGGAGACUGGUGAGGAGGGUGUAGUAGUAGGAGAGACAAGUAGCAGUAAUUUGGAUGCAAGAAGGUGUUUUUCAAUGGGAUCUUAUCAGUAUGUUGUGGCCAAUUCAGAACUCAGGAUAGCCUUGAAUCAUGACCGGAGUGAUCACAAAUUGAGGCUUGCUGCUGAAGGAAAACAACAUUCUGAGAAGGCUGCUUUGGAAGGGGAUAUGGAUGCAAAGAAUAUUAGGAGUGUGAGUAAAGGUGAGAGCUUUUCAGUGUCCAAAAUCUGGUUGUGGCCAAAGAAGGGAAAGUUUUCAAGUUCUUCCGAGGCUCAUAUUGGCAUGCCUUCUUAUCUUAAUUCAGACAUGCCUAGGAUGAGGGAAGCCGAAGCAGCAUGAAAGAUUACAAACCAACAGAGCUGCGUAGUGUACGUAGACCCAUUCAUAUGAUGGACUAUCAAGUAUCAACCAUCCAAUAGUAGCACUGAAGGGAAGCCGUUGCAACUUCUUUAGGUGGGUUGAUGAUAAUGGGUAUGCAGCAGGGGCAGAAACUGAUGCAGAGGUUGGUGGCGACUAUGAUGAAUGGAGACUGAAUGUGUCAUGGAGAUUGGGUAGCUUGGAGGGUGAAGUUAGAGCAAUGAAAUUGCUAAUAAUGUACGUCUCAGUUGCAAUGGUUGUGGCUACUGUCUUUUGUGCAUCACUAUUAUUCACAUCAAUCUCCAAGUAAAGCCACAGAUGGAGUGUUAUGUUGUUGCGCUUUAGAGAUGUUAUUAGAACUUUGAGAUUGAAUUAGUUGAUAUAUAAUGAUGAUGUGACUUAUGAAUGAAAGUAGAGUUUAAUUGUGUUUAAUUUA